GGGGUCCCCCCAGCUCCCCUCCGGUAAGUGCUUAAUGCCAGAAUUCCUGGAAACGGGGAGAAAUGUGGGGGUUCCCGGCAAAAAGGCAGCGCCGAGCGGGCGGCCGGGCGCCCUCGAAGGUUUUCCUGUUCCGGUGCUCGCUCGCGGUGCGAUUUGAGGGAAACGGCCCCGAUUUAGGGUCAGUCCCGGGGAGGUCGGACAAGCGUUGGGUGCUGCUGGAGGGGGCCUCGGGGCGCAGGACGGGUCCUGGGAUGCGUCGGGCCAGGGUGGGCGAGCCUUGGAAUGGUUUGGAAUGCGUUGGGUGAGCCUCGGGCCACCUUGUGGGAGCUUUGGGCCACCUGGCGUGAGCCUUGGGAUGGUUCAGGUUGUGUUGGGGGAGUGUUGGGCCACCUCGUGUGAGCCUUGGGGUGGUUCAGAAUGCGCUGGGUAACGGCUUGGGCUGUGCUCGAUGAGCCUUGGGAUUGUUUGGGCCACGUUGGAUGAGUCUUGGGCCACGUUGGAUGGGCCUUGGGCCACGUUGGAUGAGCCUCGAGGUGGUUUGGGCCACGUUGGCUGGGUCUUGGGCCACGUUGGAUGGGCCUUGGGCCACGUCAGGCCGCACUGGGUGAGCCUUGGACCACCCUGCAUCACGCUGGAGGAGCCUUGGAUGUGGUGGAGGAGCCUCGGGCUGUGCUGGACCACACUGGAUGAGCGUCGGGCCAUGGCAGAUGAACCCUGGGCUGUGCUGGACCACGUAGGAUGAGCGCUGAACCAUACCAGAUGAGUUCUGGGCCACGUAGGAUGAGCC
rnacentral:lncRNA from 1 species